GGAGAGGUGUCCGAGAGGCUGAAGGAGCACGACUGGAAAUCGUGUGUACGCUAAUUACGUACCGAGGGUUCGAAUCCCUCUCUCUCCGCCA
rnacentral:tRNA from 1 species